rnacentral:lncRNA from 1 species
UAGCUAUUGCAGUUGCAAAUAGCAUAAUUAUCUGUCACAUUUCAGUGUGUUUGUAAUGAUAAGACUGAUCUAAAUGGGAACUAAUGCAUUACUUGGAUGUCUUUCCAAAGGAGGCACAGCGAAGAAACAGAAUGGACCAUGCAUAAGGAAGGGAACCCUGUACCACACAGGAAUGACAUUUCUGCCUUCAAGCUCUUUUCUAUUUCUCCUUGUUCCUCCAAACCUACUCAUCUAUAGCUUCAUUUUAUUUUAUCAUUACCCUGCCAGAAACAGCAAGAAUUGCCUUCAGAUGGGGCACAACACAUGCUUGUGUACUUGAAUCAUUGCCUGACCACGUAACAUGGUCAUUCUAUUGAAUCAACGCUGUGAGAACACAUCAUGAUGCCAUAGGCAGCCCCCCAAACGUAAGCAAAACAGUGAUACUACACACAGAAAUGGAAGAACCUAACCCUUUUACAAGAGUUGUACAAUUCUCUGUGUGCUACUUCAAGUCAUGGUCACAUAAUUAUUUUUUAAAGAACCGUUCUACCAAAUAAGAAGUUGCUAACAUGGAGAUCAUCAUUCUAUUUGCUUUUCUACUGUCUGUAGAGGUGAGUAAUUAUCAGUAGUGAUUGUUUGUCUGAAGAUUGUGUAUAUAUAUAUAA